rnacentral:lncRNA from 1 species
GGAAAAGACCCUUCUUCUUCAGAGCUAGAGCAAAAACGACGCUACACCCCCUGCUUCUUCUUCUCAUUUUCACUCAACAAUGGAGACCCCUUAAAGUGUGGACCUCUCACUACUUCUUCCUUAUUUUUUUCUUUUUUCUUUUACCCAAAAACAGAGAAAGGGAAACUCUCCUUCUUCUUCUUCUUAUUCUUCUUUUUCUUCUUCUUCUUCAAAGUCACGACAUCCAUUUUAUUUUGAAAAAAAAAUCAGAAAAAUCCUCUAAUCUCCAUUGUCACUCUCUUGGGCAAAAGAGAACUCAUCAAUGACCCUCCCCUCCCCGAAAACACCUUCAGCCAUUUCCAAAUAGCCCCGAACGCCCCUCAACAGUCAUUAACCACCCCUCCUUUGGUCUUUUCUUCAUCUCAUUUCAAUCUCACCACCCACACUCAAUCCCACGCACAUACGUCUGAAAUGGUUAAGAGAAGCAGCUUGAGGCUCGGACAUCUGUGGUUCUAAAAAAAAUCAAAACAAAAAAAGAGUAAAAUUUCAAAUCUGGGUUUGUGUAAGCCGUGGAAGUUCGAAUUUGUGAUUAUAUUGAUGACUUUGGUUGUGUCAAAGCUGUUGAGCUCUAGUUUGCAGUGGCCAGACCUUCAUUUGUCAAUCUCAGUUAUUCUUAUUGCCUAGGUACACAUGUAUAUCCCUAUUUCUUCGAGUUAAAAUCUAGUGAAAUCUGAAUCUUUUUUUGUCUAAUUUUAUAAGUGUAGCAUGCUUAAUGACUGAAUUUGCUUGAGAACUUCUUCUCCAUCAAUUUCUGAUGAUAGUAAUGUGGUUAAUUGAACAAGUAAGUAUGUUAGGCCCUGGUGAUUGAUGUAGUAUUUCAGUCGGUU